rnacentral:rRNA from 1 species
GGGGAAUAUUGCACAAUGGGGGAAACCCUGAUGCAGCGACGCCGCGUGGAGGAAGAAGGUCUUCGGAUUGUAAACUCCUGUUGUUGAGGAAGAUAAUGACGGUACUCAACAAGGAAGUGACGGCUAACUACGUGCCAGCAGCCGCGGUAAAACGUAGGUCACAAGCGUUGUCCGGAAUUACUGGGUGUAAAGGGAGCGCAGGCGGGAAGACAAGUUGGAAGUGAAAUCUAUGGGCUCAACCCAUAAACUGCUUUCAAAACUGUUUUUCUUGAGUAGUGCAGAGGUAGGCGGAAUUCCCGGUGUAGCGGUGGAAUGCGUAGAUAUCGGGAGGAACACCAGUGGCGAAGGCGGCCUACUGGGCACCAACUGACGCUGAGGCUCGAAAGUGUGGGUAGCAAACAGGAUUAGAUACCCUGGUAGUCCACACCGUAAACGAUGAUUACUAGGUGUUGGAGGAUUGACCCCUUCAGUGCCGCAGUUAACACAAUAAGUAAUCCACCUGGGGAGUACGACCGCAAGGUUGAAACUCAAAGGAAUUGACGGGGGCCCGCACAAGCAGUGGAGUAUGUGGUUUAAUUCGACGCAACGCGAAGAACCUUACCAAGUCUUGACAUCCCUUGACAGGCAUAGAAAUAUGUAAUCUCUUCGGAGCAAGGAGACAGGUGGUGCAUGGUUGUCGUCAGCUCGUGUCGUGAGAUGUUGGGUUAAGUCCCGCAACGAGCGCAACCCUUAUGGUCAGUUACUACGCAAGAGGACUCUGGCCAGACUGCCGUUGACAAAACGGAGGAAGGUGGGGAUGACGUCAAAUCAUCAUGCCCUUUAUGACUUGGGCUACACACGUACUACAAUGGCGUUAAACAAAGAGAAGCAAGACCGCGAGGUGGAGCAAAACUCAGAAACAACGUCCCAGUUCGGACUGCAGGCUGCAACUCGCCUGCACGAAGUCGGAAUUGCUAGUAAUCGUGGAUCAGCAUGCCACGGUGAAUACGUUCCCG